rnacentral:rRNA from 1 species
AUUGAACGCUGGCGGUAUGCUUAACACAUGCAAGUCGAACGGUAACAGGCCUUCGGGCGCUGACGAGUGGCGGACGGGUGAGUAACGCGUAGGAAUCUGCCUCAUAGUGGGGGACAACGUGGGGAAACUCACGCUAAUACCGCAUACGCCCUACGGGGGAAAGCGGGGGAUCUUCGGACCUCGCGCUAUGAGAUGAGCCUGCGUUAGAUUAGCUAGUUGGUAGGGUAAAGGCCUACCAAGGCGACGAUCUAUAGCUGGUCUGAGAGGACGAUCAGCCACACUGGGACUGAGACACGGCCCAGACUCCUACGGGAGGCAGCAGUGGGGAAUAUUGGACAAUGGGCGCAAGCCUGAUCCAGCAAUACCGCGUGUGUGGAGAAGGCCCUAGGGUUGUAAAGCACUUUCAAUUGGGAGGAAAACCUGCCGGUCAAUACCCGGCAGCUUGACAUUACCUUUAGAAGAAGCACCGGCUAACUCCGUGCCAGCCGCCGCAGUAAAAC